rnacentral:rRNA from 1 species
UUGGAGGGCAAGUCUGGUGCCAGCAGCCGCGGUAAUUCCAGCUCCAAUAGCGUAUAUUAAAGUUGUUGCAGUUAAAAAGCUCGUAGUUGAAUUUCGGGAUUAGUACGUCGGUCGUGCCUUAGGUACGUACUGGUGUUACUGGUUCCUACCUUCUGACGAACCAUCAUGUCAUUAAUUUGGUGUGGUGGGGAAUCAGGACUGUUACUUUGAAAAAAUUAGAGUGUUUAAAGCAGGCUCGCGCUUGAAUACAUUAGCAUGGAAUAAUGAAAUAGGACGUUGAUCCUAUUUUGUUGGUUUCUAGGAUUGACGUAAUGAUUAAUAGGGAUAGUUGGGGGCAUUAGUAUUCAAUUGUCAGAGGUGAAAUUCUUGGAUUUAUUGAAGACUAACUACUGCGAAAGCAUUUGCCAAGGAUGUUUUCAUUAAUCAAGAGCGAAAGUUAGGGGAUCGAAGACGAUCAGAUACCGUCGUAGUCUUAACCAUAAACUAUGCCGACUAGGGAUCGGAUGAUGUUAUUUUUAAUGACUCAUUCGGCGCCUUACGGGAAAC